UCAAGAUAAGGUUUCCCAUCCGGUUAACGGAGUAAGACCCCUGGUAGACCACCAGGUUGAUAGGCCGGGAGUGUAAGCGCAGCAAUGCGUUCAGCGGACCGGUACUAAUAGGUCGAGGGCUUGACCCG
rnacentral:rRNA from 1 species